rnacentral:rRNA from 1 species
AACGAACGCUGGCGGCAUGCCUAACACAUGCAAGUCGAACGGCAGCACGGGAGCAAUCCUGGUGGCGGGUGGCGAACGGGUGAGUAAUACAUCGGAACGUGCCCAAUCGUGGGGGAUAACGCAGCGAAAGCUGUGCUAAUACCGCAUACGAUCUACGGAUGAAAGCAGGGGAUCGCAAGACCUUGCGCGAAUGGAGCGGCCGAUGGCAGAUUAGGUAGUUGGCGAGGUAAAGGCUCACCAAGCCGUCGAUCUGUAGCUGGUCUGAGAGGACGACCAGCCACACUGGGACUGAGACACGGCCCAGACUCCUACGGGAGGCAGCAGUGGGGAAUUUUGGACAAUGGGCGAAAGCCUGAUCCAGCCAUGCCGCGUGCAGGAUGAAGGCCUUCGGGUUGUAAACUGCUUUUGUACGGAACGAAACGGCCUUUUCUAAUAAAGAGGGCUAAUGACGGUACCGUAAGAAUAAGCACCGGCUAACUACGUGCCAGCAGCCACGGUAAUACGUAGGGUGCAAGCGUUAAUCGGAAUUACUGGGCGUAAAGCGUGCGCAGGCGGUUAUGUAAGACAGUUGUGAAAUCCCCGGGCUCAACCUGGGAACUGCAUCUGUGACUGCAUAGCUAGAGUACGGUAGAGGGGGAUGGAAUUCCGCGUGUAGCAGUGAAAUGCGUAGAUAUGCGGAGGAACACCGAUGGCGAAGGCAAUCCCCUGGACCUGUACUGACGCUCAUGCACGAAAGCGUGGGGAGCAAACAGG